CCUACAAUGGUUGUUACGGGUAACGGGGAAUUAGGGUUCGAUUCCGGAGAGGGAGCUUCGAGAGAUGGCUACCACAGCUAAGGCAGGCAGCAGGCGCGCAAAUUACCCAAUCCCGAUUCGGGGAGGUAGUGACAAGAAAUAACAAGACAGGGCUCUUUGAGUCUUGUCAUUGGAAUGAGAACAAUUUAAAUCCCUUAACAAGGAACAAUUGGAGGGCAAGUCUGGUGCCAGCAGCCGCGGUAAUUCCAGCUCCAAUAGCGUAUAUUAAAGUUGUUGCAGUUAAAAAGCUCGUAGUCGAAUGUUGGGUUUGGCAAGGUGGUCGGCUGAAAAGCUAGCACUGCACUGGUUGGGCUCCAUUAAGCUUGGCGAAACUAGGUGCUCUUUACUGAGUGCUUAGGGGAACUAAGACUUUUACUGUGAAGAAAUUAGAGUGUUUAAAGCGGGCAUAUGCUUGAAUACAUUAGCAUGGAAUAAUAGAAUAGGACUUUGGUCUUAUUUUGUUGGUUUCUAAGAUCAAAGUAAUGAUUGACAGGAACAGUUGGGGGCAUUGGUAUUUAAUUGUCAGAGGUGAAAUUCUUGGAUUUAUGAAAGACCCACUUCUGCGAAAGCAUUUGCCAAGGAUGUUUUCAUUGAUCAAGAGCGAAAGUUAAGGGAUCGAAGACGAUCAGAUACCGUCGUAGUCUUAACCAUAAAUGUUGCCGGCUACAGAUCGGGCAAGUAUAUUUUAAAUGUCUUGCCCGGCAUGUUAUGAGAAAUCAAAGCGUUUGGGUUCCGGGGGGAGUAUGGUCGCAAGGCUGAAACUUAAAGGGAUUGACGGAAGGGCACCACCAGGAGUGGAGCCUGCGGCUUAAUUUGACUCAACACGGGGAAACUCACCAGGUUUAGACAUGGUUAGGAUUGACAGAUUGAGAGCUCUUUCUUGAUUUUAUGGGUGGUGGUGCAUGGCCGUUCUUAGUUGGUGGAGUGAUUUGUCUGGUUAAUUCCGUUAACGAACGAGACCUUAACCUACUAACUAGUGGCGGUAACUUUGUGGUUGCUCGCGCACUUCUUAGAGGGACAAUGGAUUUCAAAUCCAUGGAAGUUUGAGGCAAUAACAGGUCUGUGAUGCCCUUAGUUAUCCUGGGCCGCACGCGCGCUACACUGACGAAGACAAAGAGUAUUCACCUUGGCUGGAAAGCCUGGGUAAUCUUUUAAACUUCGUCGUGAUGGGGAUCGUCCAUUGCAAUUGUUGGACGUGAACGAGGAAUUCCUAGUAAAUGCAAGUCAUCAGCUUGCGUUGAUUACGUCCCUGCCCUUUGUACACACCGCCCGUCGCUACUACCGAUUGAACGGCUUAGUGAGACCUCCGGAUUGAAUAGUCGGGGCUUUACGGCUCUAACUUUUUGAAAAGCUGGUCAAACUUGGUCGUUUAGAGGAAGUAAAAGUCGUAACAAGGUAACCGUAGGUGAACCUGCGGUUGGAUCAUUA
rnacentral:rRNA from 1 species